rnacentral:rRNA from 1 species
CCCUAUGGGACGCAGCAGUGGGGAAUAUUGCACAAUGGGGGAAACCCUGAUGCAGCGACGCCGCGUGAGUGAAGAAGUAUUUCGGUAUGUAAAGCUCUAUCAGCAGGGAAGAAAAUGACGGUACCUGACUAAGAAGCCCCGGCUAACUACGUGCCAGCAGCCGCGGUAAUACGUAGGGGGCAAGCGUUAUCCGGAUUUACUGGGUGUAAAGGGAGCGUAGGCGGCAGCGCAAGUCUGAAGUGAAAUCCUAUGGCUUAACCAUGGAACUGCUUUGGAAACUGUGCA